rnacentral:rRNA from 1 species
CCUACGGGAGGCUGCAGUGGGGAAUAUUGGGCAAUGGAGGCAACUCUGACCCAGCAACGCCGCGUGAAUGAUGAAGGUCUUCGGAUUGUAAAGUUCUUUUCUAUGGGACGAUGAAAGUGACGGUACCUUAGGAAUCAGCCUCGGCCAUCUACGUAACAGCAGCCGCGGUAAUACGUGGGCGGCAAGCGUUAUCCGGAAUGACUGGGCGUAAAGGGUGUGUAGGUGGUUUAACAAGUUGGUAGAGUAACUACGGUGCUCAACUUUGGAACUACUACCAAAACUUUUGGAGUCGAGUGAAGGAGGGGCAACUGGAAUAUCUAGUGUAGAGGUGGAAUGCGUAGAUAUUAGGAAGAACACCGGUGGCGAAGGCGAGUUGCUGGA